GAUGAACGCUAGCGGCAGGCCUAAUACAUGCAAGUCGAACGCUCAGUAGCAAUACUGGGAGUGGCGCACGGUGCGCAACGCGUACACAAUCUACCUCUAAGCGGGGACACCUCCUGGAACGGGGAUUAAUACCGCAUAAUAUGCCGAAGUCGCAUGACUUUGGUAUUAAGCAGCAAUGCACUUAGAGAUGAGUGUGCGUCCCAUUAGGUAGUUGGUGAGGUAACGGCUCACCAAGCCUAUGAUGGGUAGCCGGUCUGAGAGGAUGGUCGGCCACACGGGCACUGAGACACGGGCCCGACUCCUACGGGAGGCAGCAGUAAGGAAUAUUGGUCAAUGGUGGAAACACUGAACCAGCCAUGCCGCGUGGAGGAAUAAGGU
rnacentral:rRNA from 1 species